rnacentral:misc_RNA from 1 species
AACGCACAUUGCGCCCUUUGGUAUUCCGAAGGGCAUGCCUGUUCGAGCGUCAUUAUCACCCCUCAAGCCCCCGGCUUGGUGUUGGACGGUUUGGUGACAGAGCCUUCGGGCAACGGUCACCCCUCCCAAAGACAAUGACGGCGGCCUCGUUGGACCCCCGGUACACUGAGUUCCUCACCGAACACGUACUGGAUCAAGGGCCCGCGGAGCACGGUCUGCCUCCCCUCAGGGAGAACUUUUAUCUCAAGGUUGACCUCGGAUCAGGUAGGAAUACCCGCUGAACUUAA